AAAUAAGAAGCAAAAAUUGCAUUUAGUUUCGACCUAAAAAUUUGAUUGAUUAAUCCUUAUUUU
rnacentral:tRNA from 2 species